CGCUGGCGGCGUGCCUAAUACAUGCAAGUCGUACGCUUCUUUUUCCACCGGAGCUUGCUCCACCGGAAAAAGAAGAGUGGCGAACGGGUGAGUAACACGUGGGUAACCUGCCCAUCAGAAGGGGAUAACACUUGGAAACAGGUGCUAAUACCGUAUAACAAUCGAAACCGCAUGGUUUUGAUUUGAAAGGCGCUUUCGGGUGUCGCUGAUGGAUGGACCCGCGGUGCAUUAGCUAGUUGGUGAGGUAACGGCUCACCAAGGCCACGAUGCAUAGCCGACCUGAGAGGGUGAUCGGCCACAUUGGGACUGAGACACGGCCCAAACUCCUACGGGAGGCAGCAGUAGGGAAUCUUCGGCAAUGGACGAAAGUCUGACCGAGCAACGCCGCGUGAGUGAAGAAGGUUUUCGGAUCGUAAAACUCUGUUGUUAGAGAAGAACAAGGAUGAGAGUAACUGUUCAUCCCUUGACGGUAUCUAACCAGAAAGCCACGGCUAACUACGUGCCAGCAGCCGCGGUAAUACGUAGGUGGCAAGCGUUGUCCGGAUUUAUUGGGCGUAAAGCGAGCGCAGGCGGUUUCUUAAGUCUGAUGUGAAAGCCCCCGGCUCAACCGGGGAGGGUCAUUGGAAACUGGGAGACUUGAGUGCAGAAGAGGAGAGUGGAAUUCCAUGUGUAGCGGUGAAAUGCGUAGAUAUAUGGAGGAACACCAGUGGCGAAGGCGGCUCUCUGGUCUGUAACUGACGCUAAGGCUCGAAAGCGUGGGGAGCAAACAGGAUUAGAUACCCUGGUAGUCCACGCCGUAAACGAUGAGUGCUAAGUGUUGGAGGGUUUCCGCCCUUCAGUGCUGCAGCUAACGCAUUAAGCACUCCGCCUGGGGGAGUACGACCGCAAGGUUGAAACUCAAAGGAAUUGACGGGGGCCCGCACAAGCGGUGGAACAGGUGGUUUAAUUCGAAGCAACGCGAAGAACCUUACCAGGUCUUGACAUCCUUUGACCACUC
rnacentral:rRNA from 1 species